GGAGAAGCAGAGAAUUAGAGAGUCCCCGGGAUCGGGGGGAGACUCGGGCAGCGCGUCCCCGUGACCGGGGAUUCAGGGCACAGUCGGGUAGCCAACAGAAACUAUUCCCGGACAUUCACCCCAGUAAAUGCACAAUCAGCAUUUUCCAGAUUUUUCCUCCGGAAUGGAGAGCAGAGUUUUCCCAUUCAACACUCACAGAGAAUUCUGGAUGAGGGAGAUAACAGCUGAUGUCACAAGCCGAGACCUUUCGUCAAGAAUGGAAAAAAAUGACGGGAGAUAGCCGGUGGAAAUGGGUGUGAGGAAGGAAUGGAGCAACAGCUGGAUUCAGAUAAGGAUGGGAAUCAGCCGCCUGUCCCCCUAACUAUAGAGUCCCCAAGACAUCUUAGUCCAGAUGGAUGAGCUGGGCCGUGAACCCAUCCCAUAUUAUCCUCCUGAGGAAUCUCACCCUGGAGCCUGUCUGUGAACUGUAGAUGUGACGCCACUUCAGAGGAUAGUUCAGUGCCAUAAAAUAAACUGAUUGGAUAAAGGCAGAA